AUGCAGUCGUACGGCAACACAGUUGCGAGCAAUCGCAACCGGUGGCGAGUGGCGCACGGGUGAGUAACGCGUAUGUAACCUACCCUUCUCCGGGACAUAACUCCGCGAAAGCGGUGCUAAUAUCCCAUACCAACUCAUCAAGACAUCUUCUUGAGUUGAAAGCAGCAAUGCGGUGAAGGAUGGGCAUGCGUCCCAUUAGCUGGUUGGUGAGGUAAUGGCCCACCAAGGCUACGAUGGGUAGGGGUUCUGAGAGGAAAGCCCCCCACACUGGUACUGAGACACGGACCAGACUCCUACGGGAGGCAGCAGUAAGGAAUAUUGGGCAAUGGUCGAAAGACUGACCCAGCCAUGCCGCGUGCAGGAUGAAGGCCCUAUGGGUUGUAAACUGCUUUUAGCCGGGAAUAAACACCCGUUUUAUAACGGGCCCGAAGGUACCGGCUGAAUAAGCAUCGGCUAACUCCGUGCCAGCAGCCGCGGUAAUACGGAGGAUGCAAGCGUUAUCCGGAUUCACUGGGUUUAAAGGGUGCGCAGGCGGACAUUUAAGUCAGGGGUGAAAUCCUACAGCUUAACUGUAGAACUGCCCUUGAUACUGAAUGCCUAGAGUAAAGCUGAAGUGGGCGGAAUGUGUUGUGUAGCGGUGAAAUGCUUAGAUAUAACACAGAACACCAAUCGCGAAGGCAGCUCACUAAACUUUAACUGACGCUCAUGCACGAAAGCGUGGGGAGCAAACAGGAUUAGAUACCCUGGUAGUCCACGCCCUAAACGAUGAUCACUCGCUGUUGGCGA
rnacentral:rRNA from 1 species